rnacentral:rRNA from 1 species
AGAGUUUGAUCAUGGCUCAGGACGAACGCUUGCGGCGUGCCUAAGAAAUGCAAGUCGAACGGGAGCUUCGGCUCUAGUGGCGAACGGUCGCGUAACACGUGGGCAACCUGCCCUGAAGCGGGGGACAACAGUCCGAAAGGACUGCUAAUACCGCAUGUGGACCGAGGAGGCAUCUCCUCUGUCUAAAGGAGCAAUCCACUUCAGGAUGGGCCCGCGGCCUAUCAGCUUGUUGGUGGGGUAACGGCCUACCAAGGCUUCGACGGGUAGCUGGUCUGAGAGGACGACCAGCCGGAUUGGGACUGAGAUACGGCCCAGACUCCUACGGGGGGCAGCAAUUAGGAAUCUUGCGCAAUGGGGGAAACCCUGACGCAGCGACGCCGCGUGGAGGAUGAAGUCCUUCGGGAUGUAAACUUCUUUUCUCAGGGAAGAAAACAAUGACGGUACCUGAGGAAUAAGCCCCGGCUAACUACGUGCCAGCAGCCGCGGUAAUACGUAGGGGGCGAGCGUUGUCCGAAUUUACUGGGCGUAAAGAGCAUUAAGGCGGGUUCUUAAGUGAGAGGUGAAAGGUUCAGGGCUCAACCCGAACAGUGCCUUUCAUACUGGGGACCUUGAGUGCGGGAGAGGCGAGUGGAAUUCCUGGUGUAGCGGUGAAAUGCGUAGAUAUCAGGAGGAACACCCAUGGCGAAGGCAGCUCGCUGGCCUGUAACUGACGCUGUAGUGCGAAAGCGUGGGGAGCAAACAGGAUUAGAUACCCCGGUAGUCC